CUUCUACAUAAAUCUUUGUUCACAUUUAGAAAAUUGUUUUGAGGAAAUAAUUAGAGAAAUAUAAUUACUGGGUCAGUCAGCAUAUGAGUUCUCUGAUAAUAUCUGAGACAUUUGAUACAUGGUAUGAAAUUUUCAGUUCACAUGCCUUCUUACUAUUUGGGAGGGACAGCCACGUUGUUUGUCUAUGAGAAGCAGAUGGCAAUUAAACCUUUCCUAAUGCUUUUGCUAAUUAACCUGAUUGCUUAAAAUGAUAGUCUCUCUUCAAAUGUCAUAAAAAGCAAAACUUCGUAUGAAUGAAACCCACAUUUAGUAAGUCUUCAGAAGAACUAUCACUCCUGGGUCUUUCCAUGCAUAAAUCUUAUAUGUCUCCCUUAUGUUUAAAUCUUUUCUUCUUGGUCAAAUUUUGUGAUUUUUGUUCUUUUUAUUUGUUUAACCAUUUAAAAAACAUUUUUAUUGGAAGUAUUCCCAGAUAGCUUAUGGUUUUUGUGGCUAUUGUGAAUCCCCUGCCCCAUACACAGAUAGCUACUGAACUUUUAUUUUAUUUUAUUUAUUUAUUUAUUUAUUUAUUUUUUGAGAUGGAGUCUUGCCCUGUCGCCCAGGCUGGAGUGCAAUGGCGCAAUCUCGGCUCACUGCAACGUCUGCCUCCUGGGUUCAAACAAUUCUCCUGCCUCAGCCUCCCGAGUAGCUGGGAUUACAGGCGCCCACCACCACGCCCAGCUAAUUUUUGUACUUUUGGUAGAGACAGGGUUUCACCAUGUUGGGCAGACUGGUCUCGAACUCCUGACCUCGUGCUCGUGAUCCACCCGCCUCAGCCUCCCAAAGUGCUGGGAUUACAGGCGUGAGCCACCACACCCGGCUGAACCUUUCUUUUUUUACUCAUUCUAGAAUUCUAGAAUGAAUGGAGUGCUUACUCUGUAUCAGGUUCUGCCAUGUACUAGGGAUAAUUGGGGACAACAAAACCUGCCUGGCCCCUGCCUGCAUGGAGCAUAUAGUCUAGAUGGAAAGAAAAAAAAGUAAACAAAACUGAUAAUGAGUAGAAAGUGAUAUGAGGAUAGAGGUGGCUUUAAGAACACAGGAAGAGGAAUCUACACUAGUCUGGACAUCAAGGGUCAGGGAAGGGCUCCCAGGGAAAGUGAUGGGAUAACAGCUGAGGAAUAAGUGGCUAUUAGCCAGAAAGGGGCGGCGGGGGGCGGGGGGUUCUAGUCGUGAGAAGCAACAUGUGUGAACGGCCAUAGGAUGACGGUGGUGCAAACAUAGACCUGCAAGAAGAUGUAUUUGCUGGAGAUUGGGAGCACCUGAAAUUGUGGCCACAUCUUGGAGAACUCCAAAAAAUUUGCAAGAAGAAAUUGACGCCUUAGAAUCCAGAGUGGAAUCAAUUCAGCGAGUGUUAGCAGAUUUGAAAGUUCAGUUGUAUGCAAAAUUCGGGAGCAACAUAAACCUUGAAGCUGAUGAAAGGAACACAUGAAUACACACAGUAGAUGAGAAGGAGCCAGGAAAGAAGAUGAUGGAAAAGUCAACGGACAAGAGGUAAUAGUUGGAGCACAUCUGUGAAAGAAAGGGGUGCUGUAGUGCUUAUACAAAC
rnacentral:lncRNA from 1 species